AUGACUUGGAAUGCUCUCUCAUUGCUAGGUAUGAGUACCCUUACUCAGCUGAAUCAAUACUACAGACAGCGUAGUAAAAAGAAUUGGGUCUCAAAAGGUGAUCGUAACACGAAGUUUUUUAAUCAAGCUGUUCUUAAACGUAGAAAAAGAAACACUAUUUGUUCAGUUAAAGAUGAAAACAAUAUCAUCCACUUUAAACCUUCUGCUGUCAUGCAAACCUUUGUUAACUAUUUCAGAUAUAUUUUCUCGCCUUUUCCUCAACAGAAUUCUUUCACUGAUAACAAUGAUCCUACUUAUUCCACGCCUGAUAAAGAUGAGAUUUUCCAAAUCCUUAAAUAUAUGAAACUUAAUGCUUCCCCAGGACCGGAUGGAUUCAACAUGGAGUUCUACUUAGCCACAUGGGAUUGGAUUGGCGAAGAGGUAACGAACCUGAAUUCUACCUUUUAUGCUACUGGUAUCCUUCCUCCACACAUUAAUGACACAAAUAUUGCACGCAUUCUGAAAAAGUUGGUCUCUCUUGUUCCCAUGUAUUAUAGUCCG
rnacentral:rRNA from 1 species